GUAGUGGGGGAUAACGUUCGGAAACGGACGCUAAUACCGCAUACGUCCUACGGGAGAAAGCAGGGGACCUUCGGGCCUUGCGCUAUCAGAUGAGCCUAGGUCGGAUUAGCUAGUUGGUGAGGUAAUGGCUCACCAAGGCUACGAUCCGUAACUGGUCUGAGAGGAUGAUCAGUCACACUGAAACUGAGACACGGUCCAGACUCCUACGGGAGGCAGCAGUGGGGAAUAUUGGACAAUGGGCGAAAGCCUGAUCCA
rnacentral:rRNA from 1 species